AUUUCUUAGAAAAUUAUAGCCUACCAUAUCCACUUUUCUUCACCUUGCUUUUUAUUUUGCUUAAUAUACCCUUAAUAUGCCACAUAACUGUGGUAGUAUAUACAGAUAUUCCUCAUUCCUUUUACAGCUGCAUAGUACUGCUUUGUGUGGAUAUGUAUAGUUUAUUCAACCAGUCUCCUAUUGAUGGACUUUUGUGUAGUUUGCUGUCUUUUGCUAAUUUGGCAUUUUUCCAACUUCAAUAAAUUUAUUUUAAAAAUGAACAAUAGUAUUAUCAUAAAAUGGAAAACAAAUUAUUCUUAGUAUGUAUAUAAAGUAAAUGUAAAAGUGAAUAGAAAGAAAAUAGAACAUUUUAAUUAAAUUCUCUCCUGUUACUAUUCCUUGGUAAUAUUUUCAGAUAUAGCUUGAUCUUUCUUUAUUAAAAAAGAAAGAUCAACAAGUGAUUGUGCUAAAAAUGAAUGACAACUUUCUUUUUUGUGUGAUCAUAUGAAAGAAAAGAUCAUUAAAAAGGGACUAACUCUUGCAGUAUGUGAUUCAAUGUUACUAAUGCCUUGUCUUUGUAUCAUCAGCAUCCAUGUUGCCUGCCACCAGUGGCAUGAACUUCCCACCUUGAGAGGCUCAAUUCUGUAGCACAAAAGUGUAUAAAAUAAUAGGUCAUAUGUAUUGAGUCUUUACUCUGUGCUUGGAUACUAGUGUAUUAUAUGAUACUCCAAACAGUCCUAUAAGGAAUGUCCUUCUAUUAUUCUCCUUUCACAAAGGAAGACUCUAAGGCUUACUGCUCUAGAUCCCAUUACUCAUAAAUGGGGAUUUGGGUCUUGAUCAGAGUCUAUGCUAACCCCAAAGUCCGUCCUAUCACCACUAUGCUCUAUGGCCUUUCUGAGCCAUGCUUUGUGAUCCCCUCUCUCUGCAAUGUAAGACAAUAGGAUGCAGUGUGGACAGAACUGAUUUUGGGGAUAAAAGAUCUGGUGUGACUCUCAAACAGACCAGUUACUAUUUGUUCUUAGCUGUGUUAGUUUUUGAGGCUUGGUUUCCUCACUUGAAAAAUUGGGAUGAUACACAUUCUAUAAAUAUCCUAGGUUUGUUUUGAGAAUUUCUAUACGGUAGUUCCCCCUUAUCCACGGGGAAUAUGUUCCAAGACCCCCAUUGGGAGCUUGAAACCACAGACAGUACCAAACCCUAUUUAUACUAUGGUUUUUUUCCUAUACCUACAUACCUAUGAUAAAAUUUAAUUUAUACAUUAGGCACAGUAAGAGGUUAACAACAAAAACUAAUAAUAAAGUACAACAGUGAUAACAAUAUACUCUAAUAAAAGUUAUGUGAAUGUGGUGUCUCUCUCAAAAUAUCUAAUUAUACUGUACUCAUCCUUCUUCUUGUGAUGAUGUGAGAUGAUGAAAUGCCUACAUGAUGAGAUGAAGUGAGGUGAAUGAUGUAAGCAUUGUGACACUGCAUUCGGCUACUAUGGACCUUCUGAUGACAUGUCACAGGGAGGAUCAUCUGCUUCCAGACUGCAGUUCACCUAUUCUAAUCAUAGAAGAUGGAUAUAAUAUUGCAAGGCUUAAAAAAAUUCUGAGAAAGUCUGAUCAUAAGUUACGUUACUAAAUAUACAAGCUUGAUGCCCAUGUAAAUGUGAAGGAGCCUCCACUCAGAACACUCCUGGUCUGCCACUCAGUGAAGGGGUGAGUCAUCUGACUGGCAGCUAAACAUCCACCUUGACUGUGUGAAGCUAAUCUAUCAAAAAUGGGAAAGAUCCAGCCCUGAUGGCCUAGUGGUUAAAGUUUGGCAUGCUCUGCUUUGGCAGCCUGAGUUCAGUUCCCAGGCACAGACACCACCCGUUUGUCAGUAGCCAUGCUGUGGCAGUGUCUCACAUAGAAGAACACGAUCAACUUACAACUAUACACAAUAUGUACUGGGGAUUUGGGGGAAAAAGAGGAAAAAAUGUGAAACAACCAGGGAUUCAUUUCCUUCCCUCCUCCUGCAAUCCUGGCUGAGCACAGCUGCUUUGUAGCCCAUCACAUGUGGUGGGGUGUGAGCAGGUCCCUUUGGUACACACGUAGAACCAUAUCCUGAAAACAACUUAACAGUAAUAAACACAGCAUUAUAAUCUCCAUUUAGUGGAUGCCUAAUUGCCUCUUUUCUCAAUUAUGACCUGCAGUGAAGAAGAAAGAAAUGUUAUUUAUUGGUUCCCUACUCCAGCAUGGUCCCAUGUCUUUCUUACUUACAUGGCAGAAUGCAGAGGUUCUAGGGUGAGGUUCAGAGGCCUGAGUCUCAGUCUUUACCUGAUAUUUCUGACUGUAUGACCCCAGGCAGUUCACUGGAUUUCCUGGCUAUCAGUUUGUUCAUCUAUUGAGUGGAUGAGUUUGUAUAAAAUGAUCUCUGACAAUGUAUAAUUUCUACCUCUACUUCUUAUCCAGGUCCCUCCUUGUGUAUCUACUUCUUCUGAACAUUGCGUUUCCUGGGGGACUUCCUGCACAGGCUAUUUUAAUGUAUGAAAUUCAAGGGCUUGAGUUUGCAUUCCAUUCAGUGACACUGGAGGCUGGCAGUUAUUCUUAACCCAGGGCUUCGAAAUGAGUUCUAGAAGGUCUGUUAACCCCUGGAAAUUUAAGGAAAAAUGAUGUACUCGAGCAGUUGGGGUAUGUGUGAGAAUAUUCCCACAGGUCCUCAAAGGUUCUCCUGGGUCAGAUUUGCUGCUGUGGAGGAAGUCACCAGGGCAGCAUGAUGUGAGUGGAGAAGCACAAUCUCAACUGGAGAGCGAGGCCCUGCAAGAGCAGCUUAGGGGGUGAUUGAUGCAUGUGAGGGUGACUAGCUCUGUCUCCAAAUGUCCCUCCUGUCCAUCCAACACCAAUGCGAUGCUGCAAACCUGAAUGACCUUUAAUACAAUCUAGAAAUGAUGCUCAGCCAUUAUCCAUUUCUCCACCCUUUUAAGUGAAACAUAUUAGUUGAUCUUCAUGAAUAGGUCGUUAAUUAGAUAGUAAGAUUUGGGACCAAGUUAUAUUGGUUGAUUCUAGUACCAAACAAUCGAUGAGUAAGUCUCCAAGCAGAUGAAAGGAAACCUUAGAUUUUUCUCUUGUGGAGAUCAAAUGAACCAGGGAGUUCACCAUAUAAUUUUGUACUGGGUGGACAUACUAUAAUCUCUGCCAAUUAAAAUCUCUGCCAAUUUUCUUCCAGGUCAAUGCUCUACAAAGUAUUGUCUUUUAUGCUUUUGAAGACAGUUUAAAGCCUUUAGUGAAUUUUUUUUCUGUUUUUUUGAGCUUUAGAAAUGGAGGGUGUAUGUGUAUCUCGGUCUUAUUUCUCUCGCUUUUUCUGUAUUCAUAUUGGUCGCAAGAGAAUGACUUCAUAUGAUAUAUUAUCCAAAGGCUUUGAGUUCAUGAACUCUGUGAAUGUAAGAAAAAUGGUUAUUCUACUUUCUAAUUAUCUAGGCUUUUAUCUUCACAUCCACCCAAUCAAUUAACUCAGAUUCUAUUAAUUGAGAAGAAUAAAUGAUGUCAAGAAAAAGGAAGUGAUUUAUAGUCAAAUGAGAUAUUUUACCAGCCAAGGAAAUAAUUCUAAGGAAAAUAUUUGUAUGUUCAGACAAAGUGUAUUUGAAGACUUGAUAAAUUCUGAUGGACGAGGUGACAUGGAAAGACAAAACUACUUAGUAAGUGAAAUAUCUGAGAGAAGAUCUUUUGAAUAAUUUCAUAAAGCAUAUGCAUAAUUUAAGAUAUAGCCAGCUUGUGCUGUUAAAAACAUCCGUCGAGUCUUGUGAUUUUCCUUAAAUUACCUUAAAUCAUCUGUUUGUAAAAUUUAAUUUGGGAAUUAUUUGAUUUUGAUUAAAGGACUAUCAUCUAGGAAUCAUCAAAAAUCUCUAUCUUAAACUAGAAGAAUAGAAAAGUUACUGUUGCUCUGAAAAUGCUCUAUGAAGUGAUACAGGUCUUCUAGGGAUGAAGACAACAGCAAAGGUGCUGCACUGUUGCAGGAAUGUUUCAGCACAGAGCAGACUGUUAGUCUGUGAAGACAUUCAUAUGAACAUCUCUCCUGGGUCUAGGGAGUUAAAGCUGGCCUUAGUCUUGCAAUGUCUGGGCUGAAUAUUUCCCCUGGUUACACAGAUCCUCAGACUGCACUGGAGCUGUCGAUGUGAUUGCUGCAAAGUUCACGAACAGGUCAAGAGGGUUGUGUACACUUUGUGAUACUUCGCUCAAGAUGCUGGCUGCAGGGGUGAGGCGGCAAAAAAAGCAACUGAAGGGCAAUGCCUUUUAUUUUAUUUUUAUGUUAAAAUAGAGAAUACAUCACUAUACAGCUGUUAAAAGAAAACAGGGAUUUAAAGAGAUAUCAAAGAUGUGCCAUUAAGCAAGAAAAACACAUAGCAGGGUAAUCCACUUAACAUCACCCCUUUUUCUUUUUGUAAAAACAAAUAUCAAUAACAAGACUUCCCUAAAAUGUUACUCUACAAUGUGUGUUGUUUGUUUGAACAUGGAGAGAGUCAUGGAAAAUUUCCUCCCUGGCUGUAUACUGGUGACUGGGCUAGGGGCAUUGAGAAGGGUGGUGGUGUGGACUGAAGGCAUUGUACUGAUCAGUAAGCAUAUGUUAUUCCCAAGAACUUUGAAGAGAAAUGUAAAAAAGAAAAAAUUUUAAAAGCAAAAUUAUUUCUCAAAUAGUACCAAAGCAACAGUAAUGGAGAAUUUCAAAGAGGAAACAGCAUCAUCCAGAGUAUCAAUCCUGUAACCCACAACCUCCCAAUUUUCUAUUUCUUCACUUCUUCCUGUCCUAAUGGAGAUGUGCUGUUUUUCAUAGUUAAAAUCAUAGUAUAAAUAAAAUUUUCAUUCUGCUUCCCUGACUUACCUUUGUAUUAGGCAUAUUAUUUCAUGGUUCUAUAUUCCUCAUGACUAUAAUUCUUGACAUAUGAAUAAAAUACCAUAGAGUGGCU
ensembl:lncRNA